AUGUUCUGUUUUGGAGGAGAAAGAAGACAUGAGUCUUUCAGAGUUGUAAAAACAUAUAAAUGUCUCCAUUAACAGCACAACAGACACAUGAACAGGACAUGGACUCCAAAGAUGAAGGUCCUUCUCCACUGAUCAUGAUCCCUGUUGCAACUGAAGAGGACAAGCACUUACCCGACAUCCAAGCCCCUGGAAGAACAACACUCACACAACACACCUCGGUGUGUGCGCUAAACUUGAAUUGUCCCCAAAUAGGACUUAUACCCUUUAUCUUGGUGAUAAAGGAGCUAUUUUCUAGGCACUUGGGACCUGAGGCCUGAUUCCCGAUGCGAGCCUGCAGCUCCUGUUGACCUGAAACGCUGAGAUGCAGUAACUCCUGAGCUCUACCCAUAUAAAAUAUACCUCUCUGAGGAGAAAAAAGGAAACACAGCCCCGUGUAGGAUUUCCUUCCCUGGCUGCACAGCAGCACCAGGUCCUGAGCUUUGGCUUGACGUCAUGAAGGUUGUUGUAGCAGUAGUUCUGUGUCCUGGUAUGGAGAUCAUCCUGGAAAAGUCAAAAUCUCUCCACCUCAGGCCCAGAGGAGCUUUCCUUCACCAACAGCUCACAAUAUUCAGUCCUUUUCCACCAUCACUCCCAAGUCUCUGAAACCUUCCAUGUGAAUGAGGGAAUGCUCAUGGACUUCCCAUCCCUAAUUUUAGAUGAUGGUCAAUGCAUGCAUGGAGUGCUGCUGGAAGGGGAUGAUGGAUUCACCUGAUGUACGUAGCCGUGGUCCAGCCAAAAAAGUUUGUUACUAGCAUAGCUGUUUUCUGAUCUAACAUUUAGUUGUAAUUACUCCUGGUCAAACAGAUAAAGAGAUAAUGACAUUCUGAUAGAAGAAAUAGUUGAGACACAAAAAAAACAUGUUUAAGGUAAAUUUCAGACUAUAAUUUCACUCCAAUACGUUCGGUUAUUUGGAAAAUAAAAUAAAGCAGCACACGACAAGCUGCCUGCUGAACCUGCACAGCUGCUAUUAAACACGGGGGAUGGGAAGCUGCCAAAACUGAGAUUUGUAGCUUGAAAAUGAUGAGGCAUUUUCUGACAGCUGCCUCCCUGUGCUGCUGUCAGGAUUCCUCCUGCCCACAAGAUGGCAGGCAGAGAUCAGCCUGCUCCUGGGACAACUGCAAACCAGAGCUGCUGAGAACAGAAAAGCCAACCUCUGCUCUACUCCCGCACUACUGUGAUUGGAAUUCGGCUGUACCACUCUUUGCAGUGCUGUGAACACAUACUGCACCCUCAGUGUGUUCUUGAGCUAAGAUCUGUACAAAGGUUCAAACGCAGUAAUUAAUUUGAAUGCUUUAUCCAGCUAACAGAUGCUCUGCAGAUCUGAGUAAUCGAUUAUUAUUAUAACCUGAUAACAAUAAUAAAUGAGCAAGGCAAUGACAGCUGACGGUGCAAAACAAUUCCAACACAGGAGGCUGCUGCUGGACAUUUUAAGGGUGACCUGCAUGGAUUUUCUCCUUCAUUAUGGCUCAGAAGAAAGACAGGCUUGUUUGCCUACUUCUACUUGCUUCUGAUUUAUUUCUUAGCCUGAGUACCUAAGUCCCAGCGGAGACCAGUGCCCACAGCCCUGUGCCCGUGCCUGAGUACACCACUGCUGCCCAGAGGGGACCAUGGAGAGGUGUCAGAUGGAUGGAGCUGGAGCGAGAAGAAGCACCUACCUCUGCGCAAGGCUCGCAGGUGCUGCUUGGCGUGGUGGUGCAGCUCCUCCACGCAAGGAGGUCUGGUGGAGGGGAGGAAGAUGUUUCUUUGCUGAUGCCAAGGUGCUCGGUAAUAGACACUCAGUUUGCUCUCUGCAUCCAGGUUGGAGACAGCUGUAGGAUAAAAACAGAAUACAGGGUAAGACUCCUAGCCUCUCUUAUAUCAACCUAGCUGAAAAGAAAAGGCUCUCGCUUGGAAGACCAGUGCCAAGAACUGGCACUGGUGAUGAUACAGCACCUCUCCUCCCACCAAAUCAGAGCAACCACUAUCUUCUUCGUAUUUCCAUACCACACUAUAUCAUUUAGCCUUUAGACAAUGCCCUUUUGUCAGAUUGAAAAUAGGUCUCUGGAGGAAAUGCUACUAUAUCGAUGUGAAAUACGUGGACUAAACAGAUAAUCAUUUUAUAGGCAGCAAAAUGAAAAUGCAAAGAAGCUGCGCAACCUUCCCACAGUGAUGUUUCAAGCAAGAGCAGAGGGUGGAAUAGGUCUCCCAUUUACCUCUUCUCCUGCCAAUAUGCUCUUUCACUACAUCAUGUUAUGCACGACUAAUUUCUGACACAGGUUGCUAGCCUGUUGCCUUCCAGGGUAUAAUGACUGAGAUUAACUGCCCACCCUGCUGAGUGACUUUAACUGUCAUCUAUCAAAAGAGGUUCCCUUAAUAGAGAUGGACUUCUGAGGUUCAGGAACACUUCCAUUCCUCCACAGAGAAAUCCCGGAAGUCUGCCUCUGAAAAUUAAAUGAACCAAGUCCACUAAAGGUCUGAGAGAAUUUCUCAGGGGAGAUGUUCCCAACCUCAGCGUAUGCAGGAGCCAGAUUUCCAGGGGCCAAAGCAGGAAAAGAGGGCUAUGGGGGGUGCCAGGGAUCUGCUGUGGUUGGCAGAGUGGAGCAGGCUUGUUACACCUGUGCUCAUCAACCUACGUAAAGCAGCAAGAGCACAGGGUAUGUCCUCAGCUACAGCACUGGGCUUGCUCCUUCUUCUACAGAAUCAUAGAAUGUCCUAAGUUGGAAGCGACCCACAAGGAUCAUGGAGUCCAACUCGUGUCCCUGCAUAUGACAACCCCACAGUUCACACCAUGUGUCUGAGGGUGUUGUCCAGUCUCUUCUUGAACACUGUCAGGCUUGGGGCCGUGACACCUCCCUGGGGAGCCUGUUCCAGUGCUCCACCACCCUCUGGGGGAAGAACCUUUUCCUCAUGUCCAACCUAAACCUCCCCUGGCACAUCUUCCUGCCAUUCCCUCAGGUUCUGUCAUUGGUCACUAAAGAGAAGAGAUCAGCACCUGUCCCUCCUCCUCCCCUUGUGAGGCAGCUGUAGACCGAGAUGAGGUGUCUUCUCAGUCUCCCCUUCUCCAGGCUGAACAAAGGCAUUGAUACAGUCUCUCCAGUCAUCUCCUCUUCCAAUGCCAAGGAGCUGCUGCACCUGUUUUGCUUACAGGACAAGGCAGCGUGAUGUUGGCAGGGUCCCUCACACACGGGAGGAAGGGUAGUGGAGGUGCCUCCUGGAGUUCCCUUCCCAGCAAGGAGCUAAACAGCCAGCGUGCCUUGGGUUGGUGCCUCCACCAGCCAUGUGCUCCUCUCCUUUGCCCUCAUCUCUCUCAAGCAGGGCAGUACACCCUGGCCCUGCUCUCCCUAGCACAUCCCCUCUCUGGCAAGAGAGCUAGAGCAGAGGUGGCUUCAAUCUCAAACGGUCCUGUGCAAUGCUGAUGGCCGGAGCCCUCCUACACAGAGAGCAUUACCAGGGAUUUGUAACUCUGUGUUAGAGACCAGCCUGUGUGUCAGACCCCUCCUCCAGCACCUGCCUUGCUCACUGAGAUGAUGGGUAUUUUGUGUCUGGGCUCGUCCCUUACAUUGUUUUUAUUGCUCCAAGCAAGCACAGCCCCCAGCCCUUGUCCAGCAGGGCCAUCACCACUUCCAUGAGAGAAGAAGGGACAUGCUGCUGUCAAGGCACACCACCAAGAGGGAAGCUAAGCCAGAGAAAAGGGUUGGUGAUGAAACAUCUGCAGCAGUAUGUUGUCUCCAAUCAAGGAGCUUGCACUUUUCGGGGCUUUCUCCCAUCUACUUCCAAUGCAUUUGCGCUCUCCAAUCUUCAGCAGUAGUUGCCCUUUUUUGAAGGGGAGUCAGUGCAACAUGUCAGAGAGCUGCUUGGAGGUUUUGCUUUUUCUGGUUUUAUUGCUUUUUUUGAUGCAAAACAACAUUCACCUGGGCCAAAGGCAUACCAGUGUGCUUUGUAUAGAGAAACGAACGGGGAAAGUAUUGUAGGAGAAGAAGGAGGAAGCAGACACAAAGGGAGAAACCCAGGAACCAUUCUGCCAUGUGUGGGAUGCUAUUCUUUAAUAAGAAAAAAAUCCAGUUCACAACACUUUGUGGAUGUCAGGAUGAAAGUGGUGGUAUAAUAUGGUGAUAGACCUGCUGAAGUUCAGGUUCUCAGAGCUUCAGCACCACUGAAGCGACCUCGAACUCCCUGUCCAGUAGGGAGCCUUACUUUGCCUCUCAGUGGGUUUUUGCAGGUGGGUUUCACUCUAUGUUUGUAGUGCUGCUCUAUGCAACUGGCCACAGUGUCAGUGCAAGGAACAGCAUCAGGGUGAGAAAAAAAAUGAUUGAUAGUGGGGGUGUCUGUAGUAUGAAUGACAGCAACCUCUAGGUGUUCAUAAUGAGGAUUUACUUACUAAAUGAUAGACACUGUAAUAACGUAAUGUUGCCAAAUCUCAAGCAGAGCUUUUGAUAGCUUGUCUGUCUGUCACCACUGCAGUAGGUGAAUAUCUCACCAUCAUUAGCUGAUUUUCAUAUUUCCUUUACCCCUUGAGGGCAAGGAAGCACUAUGUCUAUUUUACAGACAACAUACUGAAACACAAAAUAAAGUGCCUCAAUCCUGUUCUGAGCUGCACUGUCUCCUUGGGAAGCUCAUCUCAGGACAAAAAUUUACAAGUGAUAGUAAUGAUACCCCACCCAUUCUUUAUAUUGCUGAGGGUAUGUGAUAUUCAUGAUCACAAAUUGUACCCCGGAGGCUAAUGAAAUGGCAGGCACAAGCAGUUCCUUCCUACUCCCAGAAAAAAAUCUGUCUAGACUGCAGCUCUAGUAUUUCUCUGUGAUGAAGCUCAGUAAGUGAGUGGAAAGUUUUAUCUGCUUGUCAAAUGUUCACAUGUUUCAUUAGACUAGAAUAGAUUUUGCUGCAAAAUUUAACUUGUAGAAAGCUCUUCUCACUUUGGCAGCAGUGUUUCACAAAUAAGAAGAGUGGGAGUUGGGUUACUAUACUUUGUGUGAGACUUAAAAAUGAAACCUAGCUAAAGCAAUUCUACUACACAGUUACGGUUGUAGACACACAUUGCUCUUCGGAGUUAUUACUAAAAUAGCAUGACCUCUUAGCCAUCCAAGUCUCCCUUAGCUGGCAAACCUGGCAGAGCUGUGCAUAGUGCUGUACCAAAGGAAAAAUAAAGCACAAUUACAUUGCUUAUCUUCAAAUGAUAGGGCACUAAGAAGCUUCCAGUACCCUGUGCCAUGGCCCCAGCCAGUGCACAUCCGAACCUUCUCACCUUCUCCUGCAGUAACUCUGAAUUGCUGUGUUGGAGAAUACGCCCCACUAAUACCAAGAAAGCAGAAAUAUUGCACAAUACACAGAACAGAACAGUCCUGUAGAAUACUUAAAGACAGGAGUGGAUUUUCUAGGCAGUCCAGAAUAGAAACUAAAAGAGCUGGUGAAAAAGCUGCAAGGAGAUGAAUAGUCAGCCUGUGGUGGGGGAGAAGCUCAGAGGGAGGCAGAAGCACUGGGUAGGGUAGAGGACAAUGCUGGCCCAAGGACAAAUAAGUAUAAACCCACCACAAAUGCAAUUAGGCUGGAUGUUUGAAGAACAGCAUCCCAACCUCUGGGCAGAGAAGCUCUAGAAAAACUUCCCGGAAAACAGAAAGAGGGAGAAAGAAGCUCACUGGUAAAUGAGUGAGCCUGCACCCUUUCUGAAGGGGAUUUCCAGAUGUGAUUGUCUGUCAAAAGUGGGACCCGCUUCUACUUCAUUCCUUGCACAUUGUCCUUUGCACCAUUGCUGGGAGCUGAAGCCAGAGGAUGCAAUUACAGGAGUGGACUGUGGGCUUUCAGGACCACUGAACGUCUGAUUUUCUGCACAGGGCUGCAUCUCUCACCUCCACUAAAAAUAAAAAAAGCCAUCCUUGUGGCAAGGUUAUUCAAACACCACUGGGCUGAGAUCCAGAAGACCUGUUCAGUCAAAGCUUCACCAUCUACCUCUGCUAAGAGCCUGGGUUAAAUAUCAACACUCCCUAUGCCUCAGUCCUGUGAAAUGGGGAUCAGGUAUCUCUUCCAGCCAGCAGUUCCCUUCACUCAGUGUUUUACUCCUCAGGCUGUUUUCACAAUGCUGAACCUGCGUGUGGCUAUAGCCCCUCAUCAUCAUCAUAACAUGCAUAAUAAAUAAAGCAAUACAGAAACUGUAAA